rnacentral:rRNA from 1 species
GAUGAACGCUGGCGGCGUGCUUAACACAUGCAAGUCGAGCGAGUGAGUUCUUCGGAACGAUCUAGCGGCGGACGGGUGAGUAACACGUGGGCAACCUGCCUCAUAGAGGGGGAUAGCCUCCUGAAAGGGAGAUUAAUACCGCAUAAAAUUAUCGAGUGGCAUCACAUGAUAAUCAAAGGAGUAAUCCGCUAUGAGAUGGGCCCGCGGCGCAUUAGCUAGUUGGUGAGGUAACGGCUCACCAAGGCGACGAUGCGUAGCCGACCUGAGAGGGUGAUCGGCCACAUUGGGACUGAGACACGGCCCAGACUCCUACGGGAGGCAGCAGUGGGGAAUAUUGCACAAUGGGGGAAACCCUGAUGCAGCAACGCCGCGUGAGUGAUGAAGGUCUUCAGAUUGUAAAGCUCUGUCUUUGGGGACGAUAAUGACGGUACCCAAGGAGGAAGCCACGGCUAACUAUGUGCCAGCCGCCGCUGUAA